GACGUAGGGCGCGAGCGUUGUCCGGAUUUAUUGGGCGUAAAGAGCGCGCAGGCGGCUGGUCAAGUCCGAUGUGAAAUCUCCCGGCUUAACUGGGAAACUGCAUCGGAAACUGAUCGGCUUGAAGGUGGGAGAGGGUAGUGGAAUUCCCGGUGUAGUGGUGAAAUGCGUAGAUAUCGGGAGGAACACCAGUGGCGAAGGCGGUACUCUGGGCCGGAACUGACGCUGAGGAGCGAAAGCGUGGGUAGCGAACAGG
rnacentral:rRNA from 1 species